ensembl:miRNA MIR518C microRNA 518c
GCGAGAAGAUUUCAUGCUGUGACUCUCUGGAGGGAAGCGCUUUCUGUUGUCUGAAAGAAAACAAAGCGCUUCUCUUUAGAGAGUUACGGUUUGAGAAAAGC